rnacentral:lncRNA from 1 species
GAAUAAUCACUCAACACCAGAUGCAAUGCAACAAAGUAAUUAAUGCUCAGAACUCAGAGCUGGGUAUGAAUCAAGGAUCCUUUACUUAGUAGUUAACUAGAAGACUGGGACUAGUUAAUUUCUCCAGUGCUCAGCUUCUUAUCUACAGGUAUCUGCUGAAUCCUCCAAGGGGAACAGAAUAAGGGGAAGAUCCCUGGAGAUCAGAUUCUCAGAUCCAGUAUCCCGUGUGCUGACCUGCCAUGACAAACACUGGCAGGGAGCCUGCCAUAGAGGAAAAGAGUAAGAAUUGGCUGAGUUCACAUAUGGGCUCCAUCAAUAACUAGCGGCCAGGUGAGAUUAGUUCUAGGAGCUAAUCUUGAAACAGACCAAGCCUGGAGACCCAGUUGCACAGUUCCAGAGAUGGCUUCAAGGUGGCGAAUUAACAACCCGGCCAUUGUUGAGAUGACGUCAGCCUGAUGUCCAGGUGGACUGGGACCCAAGGUGGCCACCAGAACAAGACACGAGGACAUUGUACUCAGCCCAAUUCUUGCAUGCCUUCCUUAUCAAGUUUUCCCUUUUUAAAACCCAUGCCUUCCCACUCAACCACAACUGAAGCAGUUACUUUGGAUAGGAGUCCAGCUGCUUCCCCUUCAAUAGUUUUGGUUAAUAAAGUCACUUUCUUUCUACCAGAGCUUGCUCUUGUUAAUUGAACUCUGCAAAUGGCGAGCACCUGGACCUGCAUUCUGCUACAAUAAUAUGGAGGAGACUUCCGUUAGAUAAAAAUUAUAGGAGACCAUUGUUUUGGACUAAGCUCCUGCACAAGGCCCCAACGGAACUGAUUAAAAAUCAAAAUGGAGUCACGCAUGUUAAAGUUUCGUGUCACCAAACCUAAACUAAGUUUUUGUCUGACCUUUCUAGAAAUCAGGAGAAGGAAAAAUAGCCAAUUGCCCAAACAGGCCCGUUUAAAUCUUUAAUUUUUCUAUUGUUCUGUCUUCUUGUACGUGGUUUUCAAGAAAAAGUAACUUUGAAAAGUAAUGAAUGCACUC